AACGCAUAUUGCGCCCUCCGGUAUUCCGGAGGGCAUGCCUGUCCGAGCGUCAUUAUCAACCCUCAAGCCCUGCUUGCUGUUGGACCUCUCGACGAAAGUUGACGGCCCCAAAGGUAAUGACGGCGUUGUGGCAACCCCCAGAUGCAAUGAGCUUUAACACGCACGCAUCACGGCGGUACCAUGACCCCAGUCUUCAACAAUUCUUCUAAGGUUGACCUCGGAUCAGGUAGGAAUACCCGCUGAACUUAA
rnacentral:misc_RNA from 1 species